rnacentral:rRNA from 1 species
AUUGAACGCUGGCGGCAGGCCUAACACAUGCAAGUCGAACGAGUGGCGGACGGGUGAGUAAUGUCUGGGAAACUGCCCGAUGGAGGGGGAUCACUACUGGAAACGGUAGCUAAUACCGCAUACCAUCGGAUGUGCCCAGAUGGGAUUAGCUAGUAGGUGGGGUAACGGCUCACCUAGGGGACGAUCCCUAGCUGGUCUGAGAGGAUGACCGGCCACACUGGAACUGGGACACGGUCCAGACUCCUACGGGAGGCAGAAGUGGGGAAUAUUGCACAAGGGGCGCAAGCCGGAUGCAGCCAUGCGGCGUGUAUGAAGAAGGCCUUCGGGUGGUAAAGUACUUUCAGCGGGGAGGCGGUACCCGCAGAAGAAGCACCGGCUAACUCCGUGCCAGCAGCCGCGGUAAUAC